GACAUGAUGGCUGAGUGUCUAAGCGGUGGUUUGUAGCUCCAUAGACAGAGGUUUAAUCCCUCUUCAUGUCA
rnacentral:tRNA from 1 species